GGGCGUUAAGUUGCAGGGUAUAGACCCGAAACCCGGUGAUCUAGCCAUGGGCAGGUUGAAGGUUGGGUAACACUAACUGGAGGACCGAACCGACUAAUGUUGAAAAAUUAGCGGAUGACCUGUGGCUGGGGGUGAAAGGCCAAUCAAACCGGGAGAUAGCUGGUUCUCCCCGAAAGCUAUUUAGGUAGCGCCUCGUGAAUUCAUCUCCGGGGGUAGAGCACUGUUUCGGCUAGGGGGCCAUCCCGGCUUACCAACCCGAUGCAAACUGCGAAUACCGGAGAAUGUUAUCACGGGAGACACACGGCGGGUGCUAACGUCCGUCGUGAAGAGGGAAACAACCCAGACCGCCAGCUAAGGUCCCAAAGUCAUGGUUAAGUGGGAAACGAUGUGGGAAGGCCCAGACAGCCAGGAUGUUGGCUUAGAAGCAGCCAUCAUUUAAAGAAAGCGUAAUAGCUCACUGGUCGAGUCGGCCUGCGCGGAAGAUGUAACGGGGCUAAACCAUGCACCGAAGCUGCGGCAGCGACGCUGAUGCGUUGUUGGGUAGGGGAGCGUUCUGUAAGCCUGUGAAGGUGGCCUGUGAGGGUUGCUGGAGGUAUCAGAAGUGCGAAUGCUGACAUAAGUAACGAUAAAGCGGGUGAAAAGCCCGCUCGCCGGAAGACCAAGGGUUCCUGUCCAACGUUAAUCGGGGCAGGGUGAGUCGACCCCUAAGGCGAGGCCGAAAGGCGUAGUCGAUGGGAAACGGGUUAAUAUUCCCGUACUUGGUGUUACUGCGAAGGGGGGACGGAGAAGGCUAUGUUGGCCGGGCGACGGUUGUCCCGGUUUAAGCGUGUAGG
rnacentral:rRNA from 4 species